rnacentral:misc_RNA from 1 species
AAGCGGGCUCCCCGCAUAUUUGUGCGGCCAACCGUUUCGGAGCUUGUUUUUUGAGUGUCCCGCCCGAUGCACAAAAAUUAGCUUGGGCGGUGUGAUGAAUGGGUUGGUGCCUGUGUUGCUACUCUUUUUGGUAGAAUGUUUGUUUUGUGACUACGGCAUGUCAUGUUGCCUUCGAUUAUGAUUUUGAGAAAGUUGCGUGGGCUAUUGAAACAUUGGCUAUGUUUGGGAGCGAUUGAUGGGUCUCGACUCGUCCGCAGCUCGCAUCAUAUUAUAUGAGCAGCUCUUUCGGAUAUGGUGGCUAUGUGGGUUCUUGCGGUCCUCUUCGGUCUGCAUGCGACCUCAUAGUACACCCGUAACUGUUCAUCGUGCGGUUGGAUCUUGUGGCAUCUUUGCGUUCCCGCUUUUGCUCUCAUGCCGGAGCAAAGGCGGGGCGUGGGGAUACCGAUGCUGGAUAAUGGGGGCGGUGCAGUACGUGUGGGAGUUCUAUGAUACAUUAGUGAUUGCUGUUGCGUGCGUGUGUAUUGGCAUUC